GACCUAAUCCGCCCUCGGCGGUAUGGUUGUUUGAAAAUCCAUUAGGAAUAUAAAGCUCGUCGUCAGAGCACUAUUCCUAGUGGUCGGUACUGGAAACGGUAUCGGGUAGCCUUGGCUAUC
rnacentral:sRNA from 1 species